rnacentral:rRNA from 1 species
CACAUGCAGUCGAACGCAGUAGCAAUACUGAGUGGCAAACGGGUGAGUAUAAUGUGGGAAUCUGCCUUUUGGUUUGGAAUAACACGGGGAAACUUGUGCUAAUACCGAAUAAGCCCUUACGGGGAAAGUUUUAAUGCCGAAAGAUGAGCCUGCACUUGAUUAGCUAGUUGGUAAGGUAAAGGCUUACCAAGGCUACGAUCAAUAGCUGUUCUUAGAGGAAGACCAGCCACAUUGGGACUGAGACACGGCCCAGACUCCUACGGGAGGCAGCAGUGGGGAAUCUUGCACAAUGGGGGAAACCCUGAUGCAGCGAUGCCGCGUGAGUGAAGAAGGCCCUUGGGUUGUAAAACUCUUUCGUCGGGGAAGAAAAUGACUGUACCCGAAUAAGAAGGUCCGGCUAACUUCGUGCCAGCAGCCGCGGUAAUACGAAGGGACCUAGCGUAGUUCGGAAUUACUGGGCUUAAAGAGCUCGUAGGUGGUUAAAAAAGUUGAUGGUGAAAUCCCAAGGCUCAACCUUGGAACUGCCAUCAAAACUUUUUAGCUAGAGUGUGAUAGAGGUAAGUGGAAUUUCUAGUGUAGAGGUGAAAUUCGUAGAUAUUAGAAAGAACACCAAAUGCGAAGGCAACUUACUGGGUCACUACUGACACUGAGGAGCGAAAGCAUGGGUAGCGAAGAGGAUUAGAUACCCUCGUAGUCCAUGCCGUAAACGAUGUGUGCUAGACGUUGGAAAUAUAUUUUU